rnacentral:rRNA from 1 species
CGGUGGAGCACGUGGUUUAAUUCGAUGCAAACCGAAGAACCUUACCUGGGUUUGACAUGCAGGUGGUAGAGAGAAGAGAUUUAAUCGACUCUGCAGUAAUGCAGAGAGCCUGCACAGGUGCUGCAUGGCUGUCGUCAGCUCGUGUCGUGAGAUGUUGGGUUAAGUCCCGCAACGAGCGCAACCCUUGCCUUUAGUUGCCAGCAGUUCGGCUGGGCACUCUAAAGGGACUGCCGGUGUUAAACCGGAGGAAGGUGGGGAUGACGUCAAGUCCUCAUGGCCUUUAUGACCAGGGCUACACACGUACUACAAUGGCCGAUACAAAGGGCAGCGACACUGCGAGGUGAAGCCAAUCCCGUAAAAUCGGUCUCAGUCCGGAUUGGAGUCUGCAACUCGACUCCAUGAAGUUGGAAUCGCUAGUAAUCGUGGAUCAGCAUGCCACGGUGAAUACGUUCCCGGGCCUU